rnacentral:tRNA from 1 species
GGCCUGUUGGUCAAGGGGUCAAGACGCCGCCCUCUCACGGCGGAAACGGGAGUUCGAAUCUCCCACGGGUCACCA